AGUAGGGAAUCUUCCGCAAUGGACGAAAGUCUGACGGAGCACGCCGCGUGAACGAAGAAGGCCUUCGGGUCGUAAAGUUCUGUUGUUAGGGAAGAACAAGUACCAGAGUAACUGCUGGUACCUUGACGGUACCUAACCAGAAAGCCACGGCUAACUACGUGCCAGCAGCCGCGGUAAUACGUAGGUGGCAAGCGUUGUCCGGAAUUA
rnacentral:rRNA from 1 species